GGGGGGGGGGGGCUGCCUACCGUGGCACUCGAACGGGGUCUUAGUACGGAAGUUUUCGGAUGGAAGGAUUAAGACCCUUUAGGCGGACGGGUGAGUAACGCGUGGGUAACCUGCCCCGUACAGGGGGAUAACAGUUGGAAACGGCUGCUAAAACCGCAUAACAUGGAGAUACCGCAUGAUAUUUCCAUCAAAUAUUUAUAGGUACAGGAUGAGCCCGCGUCUGAUUAGCCAGUUGGCAGGGUAAUGGCCUACCAAAGCGACGAUCAGUAGCCGGCUUGAGAGAGUGACCGGUCACAUUGGGACUGAGACACGGCCCAAACUCCUACGGGAGGCAGCAGUGGGGGAUAUUGCACAAUGGGGGAAACCCUGAUGCAGCGACGCCGCGUGAGUGAAGAAGUAUUUCGGUAUGUAAAGCUCUAUCGGCAGGGAAGAAAAAAAUGACAGUACCUGACUAAGAAGCCCCGGCUAACUACGUGCCAGCAGCCGCGGUAAUACGUAGGGGGCAAGCGUUAUCCGGAUUUACUGGGUGUAAAGGGAGCGUAGGCGGCCAUGCAAGUCAGAAGUGAAAACCCGGGGCUCAACCCUGGGAGUGCUUUUGAAACUGUGCGGCUAGAGUGUCGGAGGGGUAAGUGGAAUUCCUAGUGUAGCGGUGAAAUGCGUAGAUAUUAGGAGGAACACCAGUGGCGAAGGCGGCUUACUGGACGAUGACUGACGCUGAGGCUCGAAAGCGUGUGGAGCAAACAGGAUUAGAUACCCUGGUAGUCCACGCCCGUAACGAUGAAUACUAGGUGUCGGGGGUUCAUAAAACUUUCGGUGCCGUCCCAAAACGCAUUAAGUAUUCCACCUGGGGAGUACGUUCGCAAAGAAUGACACUAAAGGAAUUGACGGGGAACCCGCACACCGGUGGAACUUGUGGUUUAAAUUCCAGGCAAUCCCAAAAACCUUACCCG
rnacentral:rRNA from 1 species